UAGAGUUUGAUCCUGGCUUAGGACGAACGCUGGCGGCGUGCCUAAUACAUGCAAGUCGAACGAAACUUUCUUACACCGAAUGCUUGCAUUCACCGUAAGAAGUUGAGUGGCGGACGGGUGAGUAACACGUGGGUAACCUGCCUAAAAGAAGGGGAUAACACUUGGAAACAGGUGCUAAUACCGUAUAUCUCUAAGGAUCGCAUGAUCCUUAGAUGAAAGAUGGUUCUGCUAUCGCUUUUAGAUGGACCCGCGGCGUAUUAACUAGUUGGUGGGGUAACGGCCUACCAAGGUGAUGAUACGUAGCCGAACUGAGAGGUUGAUCGGCCACAUUGGGACUGAGACACGGCCCAAACUCCUACGGGAGGCAGCAGUAGGGAAUCUUCCACAAUGGACGCAAGUCUGAUGGAGCAACGCCGCGUGAGUGAAGAAGGUCUUCGGAUCGUAAAACUCUGUUGUUAGAGAAGAACACGAGUGAGAGUAACUGUUCAUUCGAUGACGGUAUCUAACCAGCAAGUCACGGCUAACUACGUGCCAGCAGCCGCGGUAAUACGUAGGUGGCAAGCGUUGUCCGGAUUUAUUGGGCGUAAAGGGAACGCAGGCGGUCUUUUAAGUCUGAUGUGAAAGCCUUCGGCUUAACCGGAGUAGUGCAUUGGAAACUGGAAGACUUGAGUGCAGAAGAGGAGAGUGGAACUCCAUGUGUAGCGGUGAAAUGCGUAGAUAUAUGGAAGAACACCAGUGGCGAAAGCGGCUCUCUGGUCUGUAACUGACGCUGAGGUUCGAAAGCGUGGGUAGCAAACAGGAUUAGAUACCCUGGUAGUCCACGCCGUAAACGAUGAAUGCUAGGUGUUGGAGGGUUUCCGCCCUUUAGUGCCGCAGCUAACGCAAUAAGCAUUCCGCCUGGGGAGUACGACCGCAAGGUUGAAACUCAAAGGAAUUGACGGGGGCCCGCACAGGCGGUGGAGCAUGUGGUUUAAUUCGAAGCAACGCGAAGAACCUUACCAGGUCUUGACAUCCUUUGACCACCUAAGAGAUUAGGUUUUCCCUUCGGGGACAAAGUGACAGGUGGUGCAUGGCUGUCGUCAGCUCGUGUCGUGAGAUGUUGGGUUAAGUCCCGCAACGAGCGCAACCCUUGUUGUCAGUUGCCAGCAUUAAGUUGGGCACUCUGGCGAGACUGCCGGUGACAAACCGGAGGAAGGUGGGGACGACGUCAAGUCAUCAUGCCCCUUAUGACCUGGGCUACACACGUGCUACAAUGGACGGUACAACGAGUCGCAAGACCGCGAGGUUUAGCUAAUCUCUUAAAGCCGUUCUCAGUUCGGAUUGUAGGCUGCAACUCGCCUACAUGAAGUCGGAAUCGCUAGUAAUCGCGAAUCAGCAUGUCGCGGUGAAUACGUUCCCGGGCCUUGUACACACCGCCCGUCACACCAUGAGAGUUUGUAACACCCAAAGCCGGUGGGGUAACCGCAAGGAGCCAGCCGUCUAAGGUGGGACAGAUGAUUGGGGUGAAGUCGUAACAAGGUAGCCGUAGGAGAACUUGCGGCUGGAUCACCUCCUUAAAUC
rnacentral:rRNA from 2 species